rnacentral:rRNA from 1 species
GUGGGGAAUAUUGCACAAUGGGCGCAAGCCUGAUGCAGCCAUGCCGCGUGUGUGAAGAAGGCCUUCGGGUUGUAAAGCACUUUCAGUCAGGAGGAAAGGUUAGUAGUUAAUACCUGCUAGCUGUGACGUUACUGACAGAAGAAGCACCGGCUAACUCCGUGCCAGCAGCCGCGGUAAUACGGAGGGUGCGAGCGUUAAUCGGAAUUACUGGGCGUAAAGCGUACGCAGGCGGUUUGUUAAGCGAGAUGUGAAAGCCCCGGGCUCAACCUGGGAACUGCAUUUCGAACUGGCAAACUAGAGUGUGAUAGAGGGUGGUAGAAUUUCAGGUGUAGCGGUGAAAUGCGUAGAGAUCUGAAGGAAUACCGAUGGCGAAGGCAGCCACCUGGGUCAACACUGACGCUCAUGUACGAAAGCGUGGGGAGCAAACGGGG